rnacentral:tRNA from 1 species
AGUCUUGUAUUCAUUUUAUGAUAUCAGAAUGCAAUUCUGAGGGUACAAUAAUGUUGUUAAGACUU